rnacentral:rRNA from 1 species
GAUGAACGCUGGCGGCGUGCUUAACACAUGCAAGUCGAACGGUGAAGCAGGAGCUUGCUCUUGUGGAUCAGUGGCGAACGGGUGAGUAACACGUGAGCAACCUGCCCCUGACUCUGGGAUAAGCGCUGGAAACGGCGUCUAAUACUGGAUAUGUGAUGUGACCGCAUGGUCUGCAUCUGGAAAGAAUUUCGGUUGGGGAUGGGCUCGCGGCCUAUCAGCUUGUUGGUGAGGUAAUGGCUCACCAAGGCGGCGACGGGGAGCCGGCCUGAGAGGGUGACCGGCCACACUGGGACUGAGACACGGCCCAGACUCCUACGGGAGGCAGCAGUGGGGAAUAUUGCACAAUGGGCGGAAGCCUGAUGCAGCAACGCCGCGUGAGGGAUGACGGCCUUCGGGUUGUAAACCUCUUUUAGCAGGGAAGAAGCGAAAGUGACGGUACCUGCAGAAAAAGCACCGGCUAACUACGUGCCAGCAGCCGCCGUAA